UGGAGGUAGAUAUGUAUAGGGGUAAGGGGACAGGGAUACUAGAGUGAUGGAGGUAGAUAUGUAUAGGGGUAAGGUGACAGGGAUACUAGAGUGAUGGAGGUAGAUAUGUAUAGGGGUAAGGUGACAGGGAUACUAGAGUGAUGGAGGUAGAUAUGUAUAGGGGUAAGGUGACAGGGAUACUAGAGUGAUGGAGGUAGAUAUGUAUAGGGGUAAGGUGACAGGGAUACUAGAGUGAUGGAGGUAGAUAUGUAUAAGGGGUAAGGUGACAGGGAUACUGGAGUGAUGGAGGUAGAUAUGUAUAGGGGUAAGGUGACAGGGAUACUAGAGUGAUGGAGGUAGAUAUGUAUCGGGGUAAGGUGACAGGGAUACUAGAGUGAUGGAGGUAGAUAUGUAUAGGGGUAAGGUGACAGGGAUACUAGAGUGAUGGAGGUAG